GCAGGUAGAUGUCGGGGUACAUGGUGUCCUGGAAGACCAGCUCCAGCGUCUCCAGUUGCGCCGCCGUGAAGCUGGUCCGCUUCCGACGCUGUGAAGCCGCCGGCGACCCCUCCGCUGGGGCCGCGGCUCCCCCGGCCAGAUUCGCCGCGGGGAGCGGCCUGAGGGCAGGCGAGGUCGGGCUGGGGCCGCCGCCUGCCGCCCACCUGGCUGGGGGGAAGGCGGAUGCAAGUCCAAUGCACCUGGGGAGCCCCAGCAGCUCAGGACCUGGCAGAGAGAGAGGCCAGCAUCAUCACCUCUUCCACCUACUUGCUAAUGCCCACAUACUCCUGCUCCCGCAGCCCUAGCACUUCUAGUAACCAUUUCCCAGCUGGAGAGAGGCUCACACUAAGACCUUAUCCAUCAACUCCAAACAGACUGUGCCUGGCUGUCAGCAAGAUGCUGUAAAAACAAGCUGCCCUUCUCUUGUUCUGCUUCCCCUGAAAGAAUGAUAUUCUGAUCAUUAAAACCUAUCUUGGAAA